UUCAUUUCAGAAACCUUUUUAACUUCCUGGGACACCCCCCACAGGUUUACUUCUGAGUCAUGCAAAAUCAGUUUUGGACUGGGUCACUGAAUGUAUUUGGCAUCGUGCUAUAGUGUCAAACUCUCUCAAAGGUUUCCCCUUUAAGAUUUUAACCAGAUUAUAACAAACAAACAUAUAAUUCUGCUCUGCUAAUUAAUAAAAAAUGGGAAAAUGGCAUCCAAUCAUGAUGGUAAGUGUUUAUAAAAUGAUUGAUUUGUAAUGUAUUUUCGAUGUCGUAGUUACACUUAUGAUUACUUUUUCACUGCCAGCAUUUGCUCCUUUAGUUCUAAGCUAUACCAAGAAUAAUUCUGGGCAAAUAAUGAUAACAGAACCCCAGCAUUCGUAAUAAAAGCCUGUGGUGGCGGGGGCGUGGUCGAGCAUUCGUCCGGAGAGAGAGAAAGCAGUAAGGGUGCAUUCACCUGAGCCAGAUAAUGAUUAACACCUGUUUCCAACCCUGUUUCCAAUUAUAGUGAGCUUGGGGAGAGCGGCAUAAAAGGGACCACACCAGCACCAAGGGUCAGAGAGAGAGUCAGGGAACAAGAGUCCUGCUAUGAAUCUAAUGUGUAAUUGUGAAGCUGAUGUGUAGUUGUGAAGCUGAUGAUUUAUUGUGAAGCUGUAAGCCCAGAAAGUUGCCAAUUAAAAAGCCUUACCUGUGACUGGAGAGACCCGGUUCCCUGUGUCCUCCUUCCUUCUUGCUGUGAAGUUUGUUACACUGGUGCCAAAACCCGGGAUCAAGUUGGAGGAAGUACGCCCCAUGGAGUCCUCCCAGUUGGCAGAAAUCCUCAAAUCCCUCGCUGGCCUACACCAGACCCACCAACAAUCCCUGCUUGAGCUUAGGCAAGAUCAAGAUCGCCGGUUCUUCGAGAUCCUUUGAGCUCAAGCAGAGGACUGGCAUGCGAACUGGAGCCUCCUCAGCCAGGAGAAAGCCCCGGCCGUGACCCCGGACACCACAUCCUCCAUGCCCCUGCCCACGCUCUUGAAGAUGGGGGUGGAAGAUGAUUCAGAAGCAUUCCUGGACCUCUUUGAGUGCUCCGUGGUGAUCUGGGGCUGGCCGCGCGCCCAUUGGAUGGCCAGACUCAUUCCGUUGCUGUCCAGGGAAGCCCAGCUCACAGCUCAACAAAUGCCAGCAGCUAGCCUCCUGGCUUAUGAUGACCUGAAGAAGUCCAUCCUGCAGCGGGUUGGCCGCAGUCCAGAGCGACAUCGAGGGAGUGAUCGACCAGGUGGUGCUGGAGCAGCUAAUCCAUCGACUACCAAAAGGAACGGCAGAAUGAGUCCAGUGCCACCAUCCGGCGUCGCUGGAGGAAGCUGUCCAAUUGGCGGGGGACCAUAUGGCAGCGUACCUGAGGGCAGAAGAGCCCUCCUACUCUCUCUCCCCUCCCCCUAUGUUUUCCCUGUUCUCUUCUCCCUCCCCCCACCCCUCUCACUCCACGGAGGCAUUGAGUCCCACUGCCGAAGUCGGCUUCCCAUUCAUGGGGGUUUGUUCCCCCCACGACUGCACUGCCCCACCCCCUCAGGUGGAUGUGCCCACCGACAACAUAGCGUCUGGGCCAGCCUGCUGGAGUUGCGGGGAUCCGGGGCACUUCCGGGAUCAAUGCCCUGUGAUGGAGCUGGGGACUGUGGUCCGGAUCCCUGACACUCCACAGGCUGCCCCCGAUCGGGCCGGAGCAUACAGGAUACCGAACAUCUGACAGAUCUUGAUCUUGGAAUUGCACCACCUGGAUUAGACCAUAGCGAGGUUAGACCUAACAGGACAGACGUUUCUCCAGAACUUUUACCGUCCACCCAAGAAUUGGUUGCAGUUACAGAGGCACAGCCCGCACCCAAUGGGCCUGACAGAAGAUGUGAUGAUUGCAGUGACUGCUCUCUACCACCGGUCCUGAAACACACAAGAUUAACUCAUUAAAUGUAUCUGUUGUUUGGAAUGCCCAGUUCCCAAUUCCUCUAGGUUCUUGUGGUGGCAUAGUGACUCAUCUCAAUCUGGGUGGUGGAGGACGAAUCUCAGUUGCCUCCGCAACUGAGAUGGUCAAUCCGUGCAUCAUGUGGCUUAUUGAGCACGUUACCGUGGAGACAUAGCACGCGUGGAGGCUUUACGCUAUUCUCCGCAGCAUCCACACACAACUCACCAUGGGCCCCACCAAGAGCGAGAACCACAUUAUGGCAACCACGAGGAGGUUACCCCAUGUGACUCUACCCUCCCUAGCUACUGGGCCAAUUUGGUUGCUUAGGAGACCGGGCUGGAGUCACUCAGCACGCCCUGGAUUCGAACUUGUGACUCCAGGGCUGGUAGUCAGCGUCUUUACUCACUGAGCUACCCAGGCCCCCAUUUAAUAACUUAAUAAUGCACAUUUAUGUAUCCCCUGAGAUUUUCACAUUCGUUUUUUGAAAUAAGUUUUUGUUUUGUUUAAGGUGAUUAACACUUUUUCAAUAACUGUCCAGUAAGUGAAGGGAUAGUAUUUGGGGGAAAAAAGCUCCCUUGUUGCAGGGGCUUAAUUUGUUUAUAUGUAGAAUAUUUAAGAUUUUAUGAAAUGCCAAAUAUGAUUGAAAUUAACAAGAAAUGAUUAACCCUUUUCUAAACUGGUUAUUUUGAAAAAGCAUUCUUUUAAUGUGUUACUCAAAAAAGCAUCCUGCUAUCUCAAAAGUAUUGGAAUAAGUUGACAAAUUUUGCACUAGAACUAUUGUGCAUUUACCUUCACUAGGCUUGGGAUUGUUGCCAUAUACAUGUAUCAAUAAUCGGAAGAUUUUCCAGAUGAUAAUCGAUAUAUAUCAGGAUUUUUUCAGAUAUAAAUAGGGCUGCUUGAUGCACAGUUGUCUUUGUCUUUUCAAACAUAUUUCUCAAAACAACUGUAUUACCCUGGUGUGAGCACCAGAGUAAAUUAAAGGGGGUCGCACACCGGAUGUGUCUGGCUGACGAAAUGGUGCUUUCUAAAAUUUGAAAUAAUUAUUUUCUACGCACACUUUGUGUCUGUCGGCAGCGCUCAGCUACGUCUCCGGAGGUGCUCAAAAUUCAAUUUGCAUAGUUUUCCAUUAAAUUCAACCCAAAUCAUUAUCAAAGGACAAAGAUUAUUUACUCUUUGUGUCUUUCAUUUAGCCUUCACAAUUUAUUUUCAGUUACAAUUAUGUUUUUUUUUUUUUUUUUUUUGUGGUUUGACAGCUUAAAUGAAAGACCUAUUCAAGGC